rnacentral:rRNA from 1 species
GAGUUUGAUUAUGGCUCAGGACAAACGCUGGCGGCGUGCUUAACACAUGCAAGUCGAACGAUGAAACGGAACGGAAAUUUUCGGAUGGAAGUUCUGUGGAUUAGUGGCGGACGGGUGAGUAAUGCAUGAAGAACCUGCCUUUCACAUAGGAAUAGCCUCGGGAAACCGGGAUUAAUACCAAAUGACACUCCGAGAUCGCAUGGUUUUGGGGUUAAAGAUUUUAUCGGUGAAAGAUGGCUUCAUGUCCCAUUAGCUGGUUGGUGAGGUAACGGCUCACCAAGGCGACGAUGGGUAGCCGGCCUGAGAGGGUGAACGGCCACAUUGGAACUGAGACACGGUCCAAACUCCUACGGGAGGCAGCAGUGGGGAAUAUUGCACAAUGGAGGAAACUCUGAUGCAGCGACGCCGCGUGAGCGAUGAAGGUCUUCGGAUCGUAAAGCUCUGUCCCUAAGGGACGAUAAUGACCGUA